rnacentral:lncRNA from 1 species
GUUGACAUACAUCAGCUGAUCGAAUCAAAACAACCGAAACGCACGAGAAGAAACGGACACCUUAUUUUCGGACGAUUGUGUAGAAGAAAACCAAUAGCCAGACCCAGGAGAAGAGCCUGUUUUGAACAAUGAAUAUAUGAAAAAGGGCCCGAAAUAAAAAGAAAAGCGUGAAUGACGGUGACUUUGAAGAAGAUUGACCAAGAGGCGGAAUAAUAGCCGGCUAGGAGAACACAUCAUCACACCUGAUCAACAAACACAGUUUUGCAAUAAAUAAACACGGAUCACUCGCCUUCUAAGAACUACUGCAUUCCAAGAUACAAAAAAAAAAAAAGCUUUCUAAGAGGGACAGAGAUAUACUAGACAGAAAACAGAAGAUCAAAAGAAGAAAAAUAGGAGAAUGAAAAAGAAGAGAUUAUAACCCCCUAUAAAAGAAGAAAGAAGAUGACAACAUUGUCUCAGAGCAGAGUGGUUGGGCUGGGGAAGUAGCUUGCCAAGGGAUAUAAGAAUUUCUCAUGAGUGGAGAACCCGAUCAGGCACCAUGGCUGAGGAUGGCAUUUCAGUUGGAGGAGUUUGCAUCAAGGAAGAGGUUCUUGGAGGCCAGAGUGAGGAGAAUUUUCUUGAAAUAAAGGAAGAAGGUGUUGAUCACAUAGAAGAAAUGAAUAGGAUCUAUAUAAAGAUGGAAGAAGAUGAAGUCGUGAAAAGCAAGUGCACUUUAUCAGUGCAAAUUGAUGAG